UAUAAUUGUGUUAAAAAUUUAAGGAUUGAGUUAUUAUUUAGGUUGUACCUAAAACAUGUGAAUAUUGAAGAAGGGGGGCCCACAACUGGCAUUGUUUUGGGACCACUGGUUGGUGAAAAAAAAUAAUAAAGAAAUCAGAGUAGCUCUAGGACUUCACAUAUUGAGGGGGAUAUAAAUGAGAUCUUAAAUGAGGCAGCUAGAGUUCAACAAGUUGAGGAAGAAAAUAGUAGUGAUAGUGACAUUCUUGACUUUGAAGAAAGAGACUUAGAUGGUGUUCCGGGUAAGGAUGAACGUGAAGUUGAUGAAGAAUUGAGAGCUUCUAGAGAAAAUUUAAGGGAACAAAAGAGAAGUGAAGCUACAAAGUCACAAAAGAGACCUAAAAAAACUUUUAAGCUUCAAGUAGUUGAGCUUGAAGAAGCUGAUGGAGAUAGGUUAUCUGAAUACUAUUUCAAGAUCAAGGCAUACAAAUAUGAUACAUUGGGUGGUAAUGAGCACUUCUUUGAUUCAUCAGAUGUUGCAAGUGAAGAUAUUGAUGAAGAGCUAGAUGUCCUGGCACAAUCAGAUGUUGAUUUACCUUCCAGAAGAAAAAAGUAGAAAGUUAUGAUAUGAUGAUGCUUCUGUCAUUUCUUUCUUUGAUUUGCGAAUGAUAUUUGAAUGUGCAAUACAGUUCAGAAAAGUUGUGGCUGAUUAUUCUAUUCAAGAGAAUGUUCAAUUAAAGCUAAGAUCCAAUGAACCUCAUAUAGUAAGGGUAGAAUGUUCGGGAAAGUGUAGCUUGGAUAAAGACUCAGGGAUUGAAAAAGUAUUAUCCAGCUCAUAAAUGUAUUACAAAGAACAUCAACAAGCUAUGCUCUGCCACAAAUGUUGCUAGAAAGAUGAAGGACAUAAUAUCUUAACCUGACAUUAGAGUUCAUAAAUCUCAAGAGAAAUAAGAACAGAUUGGGGGUUACAAGUGGGAAGAUCAAUCUGCUAAGACCAAAAUGAGAGUUAUCAUCAAGUUCAUGGAUGAUUGAAAUCUUGAAAAUAUGAUUAAGAGCACAAAUUCUGAGACUUUUUGUUGGGUUAGAACUGAGACAGUCCCUGGCAAACAGUUGUUCAAAUACUUUUAUGUAUGCUUUGCUGCAGAAGAAUGGAUAGCUAGAAGGUUGUAGGAAGAUCAUAGGGUUAAAUGGAUGUUUUCCGAAAGACUUGUAGAGGAUAACUAUUAGUAGUUGUUGGAAGAAAUGGAAACAAACCAAGAAACUAAACACUUUUGGAGUUGGUCCUUAAGCUAUCUCAUUCAAGAUUUGAAGCUUGGUGAUGCCUGACAUGCGAAAAGUAUGCUUUUCUUCCUUUUUUUUUUUUUUAAAAAAAAAAAAACAGUUUUGCCAAUUUUUAAUUAAUUGUUUUGCCAAUUUAUUUUAAAAAUUAUUUUGACGUUUUUUUAAAAAAAAUUGUUCUACCAAUUUCCGUUAUACAUUUUUUAUUAACUGUUAUUGCUUCAAUGUUUGCCCAUAAACGCAUUGUUCUGCUUAUUAAGGUUUUGAAUCAAUUGUCUCUGAUUUACUUCCUAUUGCUGAAAGAAGAAUGUGUGCAAGACAUAUUUGGACAAACUAAUAAAAAAUAUUGGAGAGGUGAAGAAAGGAGAAAAGCAUUUUGAUGGUGUGCCAAGACUAGUUUUAAGGUAAAAUUGAGAGAAUAAUUUAAAUAUUUGGGAAACUUUGACACAAAAUAUGUCAGUUGUUACUUAUCUAUAAUAAAGAAUACUGGUGUAGGACUAUGUUUAGUGAAAGAGCUAAGUAUGAUGUGGUGGAAAAUAAUAUGUGAGAACAUUUAAGUCUUAGAUGGUUGGUCUUAGAUACAUAUCUGUGAUUAGUAUGCUUGAAGAUAUUAGACAUAAGUUGAUGGAUAGGCAUGGAGAUAUGAUUGAAUUUUGCUAAAACUUGGGUCAAUGACAUCUCACCCAUGGCAAUACUAGUUUUACGAGAAAACUAAGUUGUUGGUAGGAGACUCAAGGUGAAUUGGAAUGAUGACACUCAUUUGAGGUUCAGAAAGGUGAUUAUAGUCACACAAUUGAUAUGGUUAGGAAAACAUUAGCUGCAGGUUGUGGCAGUUGAGGGGUAUCCCUUGCCAGAAUCUAGUUUGUGCCUUGUUUCACAUUACGGAAGAACCAGAAGACUAUGUGGAGCAUUGGUAUAGAAAAAAUAACAUUCCUAAGUGCUUAUAUGUACUUAAUACAACCAAUCCCUGAUAUGAUAAUGUGGCCUAAAAUCAAUAACCCACCAAGAAGCCUUCUGAUGUGAAGUCAAUGGCUGGGAGAUUCAAAAGAUGUAGAAGAAAAGACAAUGAUGAACCAAGAAAAAAAAUGAAGGAAAGCAUUAAAAAAAGGAGUCACAAUGACAUGUUUCAGUUGUCAUCAAGUUGGGCACAACAAAAAGGACUGCAAAUCAGGGGUAAGCAUUUUCUUUUUUUUUUCUUUUCAGUUUUUUAAUUUAAUCCUUUUUAGACUUCCAACUCUUUUUCCUAUAUGUAUAUCCCUCUCAAUAGCCAACUACGACCACUAAAUCAAGGACAAUGACUCAACCUAACACUCAACAGUCCUCUUCUUUAUGUUAAGAAAUUUCAAGAGUUAGAGGAACAAGAAGACAUAUAGUUGGUUCUUCAACUGCUACAUCAAUGGAUGCAACUACAAAAGCAGUAUCUGCUUCAUUUGGAAGAAAAAGAACAAGAGACAUGAAAUUUGGUGUUUAAACAGACAUACAAUCUGGAAGACAAGUCAGUAAUUUUAAGAGACCAAUUGAAAGAGUUAUCUCAAGUGGGACAACUUUAAAGGAUGCAUCACUAAUAAAUAUUGAUUUUGGAUUCAAGCCAUUUGAUUUGGAAUGGAAAGGGAAAAAUGCUAUUACUGGGAACCAACUUCAGCAAAUGCAGCACCCAAAAAGAUGCAAACCAAGUCUAAAAAUAAGAGUUCAACUCAAUCACGAGAUGGCUAGUUGAUGUGGUUUCUGUUGGACAGCCUUCCUUUGGGUUAUUUUGAUGUAUGUUAGCAUUUAGACUUGCCAUUUACACUAUCUAAAGGUUGAUUAUGUUGAUGUA